UACGGAGGAUGCAAGCGUUGUUCGGAUUUACUGGGCGUAAAGCGCACGUAGGCGGACAUUUAAGUCAGGGGUGAAAUCCCGGGGCUCAACCCCGGAACUGCCUUUGAUACUGGGUGUCUUGAGUGUGGAAGAGGUGAGUGGAAUUCCGAGUGUAGAGGUGAAAUUCGUAGAUAUUCGGAGGAACACCAGUGGCGAAGGCGGCUCACUGGUCCACAACUGACGCUGAGGUGCGAAAGCGUGGGGAGCAAACAGG
rnacentral:rRNA from 1 species